CAGAGGUCCCGAGCGUUGUUCGGAUUCACUGGGCGUAAAGGGUGCGUAGGUGGCAUGGUAAGUUUGAUGUGAAAGCUCAGGGCUCAACCCUGAAAUGGCAUUGAAUACUACUGUGCUGGAGGUUUGGAGGGGGGACUGGAAUUCUUGGUGUAGCAGUGAAAUGCGUAGAUAUCAAGAGGAACACCAGUGGCGAAGGCGAGUCCCUGGACAACACCUGACACUGAGGCACGAAAGCUAGGGGAGCAAACAGGAUUAGAUACCCUGGUAGUCCUAGCCCUAAACGGUGCGCAUUUGCUGUAGGAGGAGUCGACCCCUUCUGUGGCGAAGCUAACGCGAUAAAUGCGCCGCCUGGGGAGUACGGUCGCAAGAUUA
rnacentral:rRNA from 1 species